GCUGUCUGUGAUGACUUGACUUUUUUCCCCAGCAGAUCGACUAUGUUGACCUUCUGCAAUUUUAAGCCAAAUUUCUCUGACAAGACUGC
ensembl:snoRNA small nucleolar SNORD12/SNORD106